GCGGUUUAUCUUCUUUGUCAGCAUACUUCGUAGUUCGUAGCCUCUUCAUCUUCUUCUUUCUUCUUCUUCUGCAGCUGCGGAGCGAAUGGCUAGCGUUUCUGCUGCUUCCGUCACCUUCAGAGCUCUCUCGAAGCCGUCACUGAAGAGCAACGAGACCUCAAGCUUGAAGGUCGUCUCUCUGGGGUGGAGAAAGAAUGGCUUCCCUUCCUUGAGGAGUUCCCGGUUCCGCGUCUCUUGUGCGCAGGCGAAGCCUGAGACUGUCGACAAAGUGUGUGAAAUAGUGAGGAAACAGCUGGCGCUUCCUGCGGAGGCCGAGCUCACUCCAGAGUCCAAGUUUUCUGCCAUAGGAGCUGACUCCCUUGAUACAGUGGAGAUAGUGAUGGCUUUGGAGGAAGAAUUUGAUAUCAGCGUCGAGGAGGAAAGCUCUCAGAACAUAACCACAGUCCAAGAAGCCGCUGAUUUGAUAGAAAAGCUAGUGCAGAAGAAACCCGAGGCAUGACGGGAAGGAUUGAGCAGGCGACACUGGAGAUUUUGACCUGAUGAGGGGGCAAAGGAGAUUCUUUCGGACAUUUUUUUGUGUGUUAGCUAUCAGGUUUUGCUCUGAUUGUUGUGAACUGAGAUAUGCACUUCUGAUUUGUUAGACUCUUUUGGCUUAAUGUCAAUGCGAAUCUUUGGAGCCCUUUCGGCAUUCUGCUGUUAUCGCCAAUAUCAUGUGUCUACUGCUGCAAACAGAUUUUGCCUGGACUCUUUUGGCAUAACGUCAUUGCGAAUCUUUGGAGCCAUUUCGGCAUACUGCUGUCAACAUCAACAUUGUGUGUCUACUGCUGCAAACAGAUUUUGCCUGGAUUUUGCCUGGGUAAGUCCUAGGAAACACGUCCUGGUGGUGCAAGUGAAGAUGGAAAAGAAUGUUGAGAUAGAAUUGAGAGUCAUCUGAAGAUUCCUUUUUUUUCUUUUCUUUUUCCAUCAAUUCCUUUAAAGUUUUGGCCUUGCGACCAUAGUCCCCCGAAACCCAAAAUUUUUAUUUUUAUUGAAGGAGCCUUUGAAGAUUCGAGUCUUACUUGCUUCCUUCCACUUCCACGAAAGACAUGCAGUGUAAACAUGGAUUUUAGUUCUGUUUGAUUCAUAGGUGAGUUGAUGUCUUGCCGUUUCA